rnacentral:rRNA from 1 species
UACGAAGGGGGCUAGCGUUGUUCGGAAUUACUGGGCGUAAAGCGCGCGUAGGCGGACCUGCAAGUCGGGGGUGAAAGCCCGAGGCUCAACCUCGGAACUGCCUUCGAUACUGCGGGUCUCGAGUCCGGGAGAGGUGAGUGGAAUUCCUAGUGUAGAGGUGAAAUUCGUAGAUAUUAGGAAGAACACCAGUGGCGAAGGCGGC